rnacentral:lncRNA from 15 species
GUUGCACAGAAUGAAUCAGUACAAGCAAUUCAACAUUUGUAGAUUUAAGUGAAACUUUUAAUAAAAACAAAUCAAAGACAGGAUAGUUUCAUUAAAAUAAUAAAAAAAAGUCAUCUUCCAUCACGUUCAGACUCAAGUGAUUCAUUUUCUUCACACUGUUGUAGUUAAACAGAAAGCGACAGUGAGCGCUGAGUGACGCCUCAGGUCUAGCAAAACUCCUCACAAGUUCGAGACUUAAUGUCACCUCCUCCCAUAACAGUCUUGCAGUACUGAGCUGUGUCCGGGCAAUCUGUCUCCGUCUUACAGAGGUCGUUGUUGUCACUUUCACAGGUGUAGCACCUGAGUGUGAGCACUGGAGUGCUACACAGCAGCAGCAGCAGGACUGUAAGAAGCAGGACCUUCAUGUUGGUGGUUGGUAUGAGGACAAACCUCUCGCACUAGCACUUUUAUACUGGCACACACCACAUACCAAACAAGAGUCGUGAACUUCCUUGUACAUGAUGUGCCAGUAACUUUAUUUUCAGCACUAUUGUCUCACAGAACAGACGAAACAAAAAGUGAACAAAGAGUUAUUUAAUCUGCUUCAUGGCUUUUGUUUAUGAGCAAGGUGUUGCGUUGCAGGAACACCAGCUAAGGUUGCUUUUAAC